rnacentral:tRNA from 2 species
UUAAUAUGGCAGAUUA